rnacentral:rRNA from 1 species
UACAGAGGGUGCGAGCGUUAAUCGGAAUUACUGGGCGUAAAGCGUGCGUAGACGGUUAUUUAAGUCGGGUGUGAAAGCCCCGGGCUCAACCUGGGAAUUGCAUUCGAGACUGAAUAGCUAGGGUACGGUAGAGGGAAGUGGAAUUUCCGGUGUAGCGGUGAAAUGCGUAGAUAUCGGAAGGAACAUUCAGUGGCGAAAGCGACUUCCUGGACCAGUACCGACGUUCAGGCACGAAAGCGUGGGGAGCAAACAGG